rnacentral:rRNA from 3 species
UGGGGAAUUUUCCGCAAUGGGCGAAAGCCUGACGGAGCAAUACCGCGUGAGGGAUGACGGCCUAUGGGUUGUAAACCUCUUUUUUCAGGGAGGAACAAAAUGACGUGUACCUGAAGAAUAAGCAUCGGCUAACUCCGUGCCAGCAGCCGCGGUAAGACGGAGGAUGCAAGUGUUAUCCGGAAUCACUGGGCGUAAAGCGUCUGUAGGUGGUUUAAUAAGUCAACUGUUAAAUCUUGAGGCUCAACCUCGAAAUCGCAGUCGAAACUAUUAGACUAGAGUAUAGUAGGGGUAAAGGGAAUUUCCAGUGGAGCGGUGAAAUGCGUAGAGAUUGGAAAGAACACCGAUGGCGAAGGCACUUUACUGGGCUAUUACUAACACUCAGAGACGAAAGCUAGGGUAGCAAAUGGGAUUAGAUACCCCAGUAGUCCUAGCUGUAAACAAUGGAUACUAGAUGUUGGACAGAUCGACCUGUGCAGUAUCAAAGCUAACGCGUUAAGUAUCCCGCCUGGGAAGUAUGCUCGCAAGAGUG